GUGGUCCGUGAUGUUCAGGGUAAU
rnacentral:snRNA from 1 species